rnacentral:rRNA from 1 species
GCGAACAGGAUUAGAUACCCUGGUAGUCCACGCUGUAAACGAUGAUCACUAGCUGUUGGCAAUACACAGUCAGCGGCUGAGCGAAAGCGUUAAGUGAUCCACCUGGGGAGUACGUCCGCAAGAAUGAAACUCAAAGGAAUUGACGGGGGCCCGCACAAGCGGUGGAACAUGUGGUUUAAUUCGAUGCUACGCGAGGAACCUUACCUGGGCUUAAAUGCAGAACGACGUUCCGGGAAACUGGAACUCCCUUCGGGGCGGACUGCACGGUGCUGCAUGGCUGUCGUCAGCUCGUGCCUUGAGGUGUCGGGUUAAGUCCCAUAACGAGCGCAACCCCUAUUGUUAGUUGCCAGCGAGUAAUGUCGGGGACUCUAACAAAACUGCCCGUGUAAGCGGGAGGAAGGUGGGGAUGACGUCAAGUCAGCACGGCCCUUAUGUCCAGGGCUACACACGUGUUACAAUGGUCGGUACAAAGGGCAGCUACCACGCGAGUGGAUGCUAAUCUCUAAAGCCGGUCUUAGUUCGGAUCGGAGUCUGCAAUUCGACUUCGUGAAGGCGGAAUCGCUAGUAAUCGCGCAUCAGCAACGGCGCGGUGAAUACGUUCCCGGGCCUUGUACACACUGCCCGUCAAGCCAUGGAAGUUGGGGGUACCU